rnacentral:tRNA from 1 species
GCGCUCGUAGCUCAACUGGAUAGAGCACCUGACUUCGGAUCAGGGGGUUGUGGGUUCGAGUCCUACCGAGCGCGC